rnacentral:rRNA from 1 species
GUAGGGAAUAUUGGACAAUGGGGGGAACCCUGAUCCAGCCAUGCCGCGUGGAGGAAGACUGCCCUCUGGGUUGUAAACUCCUUUUAUAUGGGAAGAACCGUCCUCAUUAAUGAGCGACCUGACGGUACCAUAGGAAUAAGCACCGGCUAACUCCGUGCCAGCAGCCGCGGUAAUACGGAGGGUGCAAGCGUUAUCCGGAUUCACUGGGUUUAAAGGGUGCGUAGGCGGAUAAAUAAGUCAGUGGUGAAAUCAACGGGCUCAACCUGGUAACUGCCAUUGAUACUGUGUAUCUUGAAUAUGAGAGAGGUAGGCGGAAGGUUGCAUGUAGCGGUGAAAUGCUUAGAUAUGCUACGGAACACCGAUUGCGAAGGCAGCUUACUAUUUCGUAAUUGACGCUGAGGCACGAAAGCGUGGGCAGCGAACAGGAUUAGAAACCCCGGUAGUCC